GGAGUGUCUUUAUGUUUAGGAUGUGUGUUUGAAUAAUGGUAACAUACCUACUAAACAGCCAACGACGAAUCUCACGGAGCAUUUACUGCAGUAUCCCUCUGAAUGUCCGCCCUUGACAAUUUUGACACUGGAUUAUUUCUCUACGUUUGGGCGGUUAUUUUAUAUCUUUUAUUUUAACGUACGGAAUAUUAUUUAGAUGAAAAAUGUCUAGAGUUUGUAGAAGAGUGUAUUCUAGGUUCACAAAAAAAAAAAAAAAAAAAGAAGAAAAUAAAACAAAAGCAUUUCUAUUUUAGUCGGUAACCUUAUGGUAACCUCAUGUAGGAUAUAUUAGUAACUUGUCAGACUGAGUAACCUAUUUUUCCUAGGUAUAGUGACUUUGAUAUAUCGGUUGUUAGAACUGUCGGAUGUAAGUU